UACGAAGGGGGCUAGCGUUGUUCGGAUUUACUGGGCGUAAAGCGCACGUAGGCGGAUUGUUAAGUUAGAGGUGAAAUCCCGGAGCUCAACUCCGGAACUGCCUUUAAUACUGGCAAUCUCGAGUCCGGAAGAGGUAAGUGGAACUCCUAGUGUAGAGGUGGAAUUCGUAGAUAUUGGGUAGAACACCAGUGGCGAAGGCGACUCUCUGGUCCGAUACUGACGCUGAGGUGCGAAAGCGUGGGGAGCAAACAGG
rnacentral:rRNA from 1 species